rnacentral:lncRNA from 1 species
UCAGCACUUCCACGCCAUCCCGGGCCUGACCCCCCCAGCGAUUCACACGGGCGCGGCACAAGACGGCAUUGCUUCCUCCUCAUUCCGAGCGGCCGGGUGGGUGGGGGCUUGGCAGCGAGCCGGUCCCCACCCUCGCCAGCUUCGGCAAACGCGGCCAGAGGCUCUGCACUGAUGCAAUUUCCAUGCCCCAAACUCUGGGCACACCCGAUGUUGGGUUUUAAAUCUCUCUCAUCAGGAAGAGCCGGGCGCUGGCCAGGACUUCCUCCCGCAAAGUCCCUGGUGUCGCGGUUCUGAAAUCAGGGCCGCAAGAGCCAGGAAAUGCGAAGUUCCCGGCGUCGGCUGCUUCUGUCACCGACCUGGCCUUCCCACACGCGGUUUGUGCCCCGUGCCAGUGGGAGGGGCAGCUUGGGCUGGGUUUUAACCGAUCGAAGCCUGGUCUGCAGUUAGCUCGGCGCCCAGGGCUGGGAGAAAUCCACGCCCGUGAGCGCCGCUGUUAAGCCGACCCAGCGAGGUCGAUGCACGAUUUCUUCCAUAAACCAGCUCCUGUUUCUCGCAAAAGGGAUGGGAGGAAGCAGUUGCAACAGGGGGCUACCCCAGUCUCCAACCUCCAGGCUUCCGAGGGACACCCAGACAGACAGACAGACAACCCGGGAUCUUACGAUCUGAAUGCAGCCUGUGCUGCUCCGGCUGGGACAGUUAAAGCCGUGCAACCUGUGUGUGUCGAAAAGCCCUUCGCGUCUCACGUGGGACGCCAUUCGCUGGAGAAACUCACGUCCGAUUGUUUAAAAACCGGCUGUCGUCACAGACUGACCCUGACCCGCUCUCCGGUUUAAAGGCCAGAAGGCAGGAGAGGAUCGGGGCAGGGGAAGCCUGGAGCCUGUUUUGCUGAGCUGGCGACAGGAAAAGGGGGGGAAGAACAAAGAAAAAUGCCAAGGGGUCCCAGGGGGUGAACAGCGCUCGGUACCACCGGGAGCCCGGACGCUGGGCUAGGUGGUCCCUAGCGGAGAGUCUCUCGGCCUCCUGGUUGGGUCCAGUCCUGCCCCCCGGCUGUCCUGCCGGCCCCGCUGCUCGGCACGCGCCGUCCUGUGGCCCGGAACGUACCCACGCACAGGAAACGCUGUCCCAAUGGCCCUUCGCCUCAUCGCAGCCAGUGCUGGGGCCCGGGCGUCGCUCAAGUCCCUGGCUUCGCUCUCUCCUGGGCCAGGGCCUCGCCCCCCACGACAGAGCAGGAAACUGACGCAAAGAGAGGGGGCAAGGACUUGCCCAUG